AGAAUAGAGAGAGCAAGGCUCAGGGAAGUGCAGGGGACCUGAGUAUUUGCUGUACCCACCACCGACUCUGCAGGGAUCCGGGAGAACCUAAGUGACUUGUGCGAUUCCGUGGACCCUGGGGAGAAUGGUCCAUUCUGGGCAUACCUGGAGGCUCUGGCCAACAGUUCCCCCAGAAUUCUCCAGGUGGGGGCAGGGGAAGAGGCGGGCCCCGCCAACUCUUCAGCAACCCAAAAUCUUAACGGCAGACCCAGAACAGCAGGGUGUCCUUAAUGUCCCCAAGUAACCUGAAGAUGCUGUGUAGCCCGGAGAGGGGCUGAAGUGUGCAUGACUGGGGUCUGGUUUGGCUGUAGACCAAUCUGAACCCAAAGGUAGAAACACGCUGGGCUCUGAAAGCCAGGCUGAAGUCUGCUAACUGACAAAUUCAUCCCAAGUCCAUC
rnacentral:lncRNA from 1 species